rnacentral:lncRNA from 1 species
AUAAUUGAAGGAACCCGGAGCCGCCGCCGCCGCGCCGCUGGGGGGGGUGGGGGGAGCUAGUGGAAGUUACUGCCGCGCCACCGAGUCCGGACCGGAGACUUUGGGGCCUAACUAGACAGAGUCUCCCUCUGUUGCCCAGGCUGGAGUGCAGUGGCGCGGUCUCAGCUCACUGCAACCUCUGCCUCCCGGGUUCAAGCGAUUCCCCUGCCGCAGCCUCCAGAGCAGCUGGGACUACAGUGAAUGGUAGUGUCUAGAAAGGGUAUGUCCCUUCAAGAGAGAGGUGCCAAUGUCCAACCGGCCUAAUAACAAUCCAGGGGGGUCACUGCGACGUUCACAGAGGAACACUGCCGGGGCCCAACCACAAGACGACUCAAUAGGAGGAAGAAGCUGCAGUUCAUCAUCUGCUGUGAUAGUUCCACAACCAGAGGAUCCAGACAGAGCCAAUACUUCAGAAAGACAAAAAACGGGGCAGGUGCCUAAGAAAGACAAUUCUCGAGGAGUGAAGCGCAGUGCUAGUCCAGACUACAACAGGACCAAUUCUCCUAGCUCUGCAAAAAAACCAAAAGCACUUCAGCAUACUGAA